UUUAGUUGUUCAUUGCCAGCAACUUGAGGUUGCCUGCGACCCUGAGGAUUUUGGAAACCUGGCAUCUCCUCUCCUUCAUUGUCCUAAGGAGAGCGUUGGCUGGAAUGGGAAGGAUUAUCUUGAAGCACAGGCAGCAAGGCUGUGAAGGGUACAGCAUGGAUGCAGGAUGGACUCUCAAAGAGGCUGUGCUGUCUGGGAGUGUGGAGAGAGCCAGUGUCAGUACCAGCAAACCUGGAAUGAAAGAACAGUAGAGAAUUAAAGUCUUCUUCUGGGUAAGGCCCAUCCUAAUCAAGCAUAGGAGAUGUGAAAAACAAACAAAAAAAAGGGCAUGGUUCAUAUCAAGACAGCAUCUCCCUUUGUC
rnacentral:lncRNA from 1 species